rnacentral:lncRNA from 1 species
ACUUUGCUAAGUUACUGACUUUAGCUUCAUGAGAUACUUUUUAGUCAUUCACUAUUUAUUUAAUUCAUUGUUGCCUUUUUGCCUCUGGGGAGAAAUAAUCCAGAAUUUGUGUACACCCACAUGUGUUUUAUUAUAGGUGAACAUGAUUCAUUCUAAUUCCUUGGUUAUUCUUGAGAAGUCAUGUGAUGAUAUUACACAUGAUGUGUGCAAAAAAUAACAUGGAGAAUUGCCAGGAGAGGUGGACUAGGAAGUGUUCAGGAGAAGCGGUGGUAACUGCAUAGCUUAUUAUAGCUACAUCUGUCUUUCAGACUGGCACUUAGGGGUAAUGAUGCUUUGUCAUGCAACCUAAUUAUAUUUGAAAACUUUGAAGGUAACAGUUGUAGUUUAAGUAUUGGUACUGAUGAAAAUCUUUUUUUUUCUGUGACUAUAAAUGAAACAGGUGGUAGUUGUUGGUGAGCUUUAGUAUUCAUAGAUCCUUUCUUCCUUUUCUUUUUCUUUUUUCUUUUCUGUCAUGUCAGGGUUUCUCUGUAUAACCACCUUGGCUGUCCUGGAACUCACUUGGUAGACCACUCUGGUCUUAAACUUUGAGAAAUCUGCCUGUCUCUGCCUCCCAAGUGCUUCUGUACCACUGUGCUCAGUCAUUCUGUUAGUGUUUACUUUUAUUGUUAUUGUUUGAGACAGAGUCUUCCUGAGUAGCUCAGACACGCCAGCAGCUAGUGAUUCUCUGUCCCAGCAUUCUCAGUGCUAAGAUUAUAGAUGUGUAUACUUGGCUUUUUUUUUCCUCCUUAGCUUAUUGACCUGUAGUUAUUGUUAUGAUUUUCUAAAGUCUUUAUGUCCUGUAAUAACUGAUGUAAAUUUUGUGUUUCUAUAGCUCUUAUCCAAAUUUAUGUACAUAAAACAAUUUCAGAUGAUGGCAUUGUCCAGAAGUAUUUUUUUUAAAUUGGAUAUUUUAGUUGUUUAUAUUUCAAAUGUUAUCCCCUUUUCCUGUUUCCCCUCUGCAAACCCCUAUCCCAUCCCCCCUUUACCCUCCUUCUAUGAGGGUGCUCCUCCACCCACCUGCUCCCUCCUCACUGCCUUAGCAUUCCUCUAUACUGGGCAUCAAGCCUUCACAGGACCAAGGGCCUCUCCUCCCAUUGAUGCCAGAUAAAGCCCCUUUAGCUCCUUCAGUCCUUCCCCUAUCUCCUUCAUUGGGGGAUUCCUGUGCUCAGUCCAAUGGUUGGCUGAGAGCAUAUGCAUCUGUAUUGGUCAGGAUCUGGCAGGAUCUCAGGAGGCAGCUGUAUCAGGCUCCUGCCAGCAAGCACUUCUUGGCAUCAGCAAUAGUGUCUGGGUUUGGUGUCUGCAUGUGGGAUGGAUCCCCAGGUGGGGCAGUCUCUAUUCCACUCUUUUCCCCUGUAUUUCCUUUAGACGGGAGCGAUGUCCAGAAAUAUUUUAACAGGUUAAUGUGUAAUUGUUAGAUGGUUGAACUGCUAAAACCUGUUUACCUGAACAUCUAACUUGUAAAUACUUUAUAUCUUGCGUUUCUGUUUGAAGUUCACACAUAAGUGGAAGUAGAACUGCCAAUGCCUAUAACAUUAAUUUCUUCAAAUCCUAUUUUAAUGAUGGUUCUUAAAUGCUUUAACCUCCCAUACAGCCCACCACCCACCAGAGGUAGUAGAAAAGAAAGGUCAUGGGGGAAGUGGACCUGUUUAGAAAGGUACUUUGUAGCAACUCCCAUCUGUGUUGUCUGGAAAUUGGCAGUUCAGUUCACAGGUUAGCAGGCAGCUGCAGCUUGGUGCACACGCAAACACUUCAUGGAUACACCAGCAGUCCAGUUCAGAUGAGUUAGGAUAGUUAACACGAAUCAGCAGUGGUGGCACUAUCUAGUAGAGACAGCUAGGCCACAGCCUGGCUCCAGUCAGCAGGAAGGACCAGCAAGAACACUAGGAAAAGUUCUCAGCUGUGCCUCUCAGGGAAGUGAGGAUCAGCGAAGACUUGAGAUCUGCAAGCAUUGUACAGCGAAGUGUUGUACCAGCAAGUGAAGCUCUCUGUCACUCUGUGGGGUCCUAUUUAUACCCUCCAAACAUCAUGUGUCCUUCAAGUGUCUUGCCUCAGCUCCUAUAUUCAAUCAGCCUGAGUUUGCCGAAGUGGCAAGAAACAGCACUACAUCACCAGAAGUUUUUUUGGUGCAUUUCUCUCUAUGGGUCCUGACAAAUGCAGCUCAACUAAGCAAUGUAAGGCAGACCAGUACCUGCAUGUUGUUAGCAAAGAAUCCUUCAUCACGUGUCCUUUCAUGUUCUUGCUUUAACAGAACAUCCUCUCUCGUGUCUGCUUCAGCGAAACCUUCCUUCAGACUCUGCCUUGGUCUUUCACCCCUGUGUCCAUUUUAACGAAACGAAAUGUUCCUUCACUUGUUUGCCCCAGCAAAACACCGACUUUCCAAAGAACCCUUAAAUUUCCACUUCAAAUGCUUGAUCGAUAUACCCCAUUUUUCACUAUCAGACAUGUACUUAGGUACUUUUUGACUCUAGAGUAAAAAUCAGAACUAUAAUAGGAAGAAGAGAAAAAAAUAAUUUUGACAAGGAAAUAUUUUUUCAUGGUAGCCAGUUUUUAAAUUCUAUAAACCUACAACAUGCUAGCUGGCUAAUUGGUAUAACUGCUACACAUUUGGCACAGAUAACAUUCAGGUUGUUAUUUUCAAAUAUACCAACCAGGUAGGUGUCACUUGCCUCUUACAAAUAUCCCCAAUAGCUGCUCUCUGGAAUCACAAGUCUGUCUUGAAGUCCUGAGAAAUUUUCUAUAUCAGAUACUGGAAGAGGAGUUUGAGAAUUAGAAGCUGGCAGCUGGCAGUGUCUAAUUCGCAGAGGCCAUAGUACUAGCCCUGUAAUGACAACAUUUCUUGACUUACCAUGGAGAGUGAACUGUUGUGUGAGUGGUUUCUGUAGCUCCUUGUUUCCUGAGUGCUUUGUUGUAACUUUGCACACAGUCUGCUCUGUAGCAGUCUUGGAGACUUGACUUAGCCUUCUUGAGCUGGGGCUUGACCGCCUAGAUACAGUACUGGUAGUAGUGCUAACUACUUUAUUUAGACUGGCUUUAAUUCAUUAGUUUGUUUUCCUGUACCAAUGAAAAUAACUUUUUGCAGUUUGUUGGCCCAGUGGAAUAUACAUUUUGUAAAUCUAGAUUUUUAUGGAAUUUUGUGAUUAAAUGACAGCAGUAGAAUAUCUGUAGAAGUAUCUUUCAUAGUGAAUAAAAAGGGAACCAUAUUAGAAUAUGGUACCAGGUUGGUGGAAGUUUAAGAAACACAUUUAUCAUUAUGUUAUUAUGGGUGAAUUGAGUAGUUGUAGUCUGCAGAGCAUUACUGCUAAACAUUGGUUACUGUUCUGGUGGCAUUGGUUUAACUUGCUUUCAAACAAUUUUGCUAGACUUGAACUCUGGGGUAAUGUCAGAUACAACUAUUUCAAUACAAACUUACUUUACUUUAUUAUGAAUAAAAUGGCAAUUGCUAAUAACUACCGUGAUUUAAUAUUUUAAAGUUGUGUCUAUGUUAGAUAGAUUAUUGGUUAUUGUUCAGAAGUUUGGGGUUUCUAUUAGUUUCCUGGCAGAGGUUAUGUGCAGAUUCAGCUCAUCUACCUAGAUAAUGCCUGGGUAUUAUUGUAUCGUUGUAUGCGUAUGUGCUUGACUUGCAUUUAUACUUGCAAGAUAGGUACUAAGGAGUGUGUUCUAUACAUCCCAAUGAUUCCUCAUCAGUUCCUGACUGGUUAAGUGUUGUCACUGACAUGCCAUGGAGGCCUAAGAAGCCCCUGGUGUCUGCUUGCUGCUGUCUCUAGGCCUUCGAGUUGAUUGCAGUGUGCGUGUUAUCAAGGAUGGGCUUUCUGUAUUCAGGAGCACAGUUUUCUUAUCUCUGUUCAACUUGAAAUCUAAAAUCCAAAAUGCUGCAGAAUCUAAAACAGUCUGAGU